rnacentral:rRNA from 1 species
UACGUAGGGGGCAAGCGUUGUCCGGAUUUAUUGGGCGUAAAGAGCGUGUAGGCGGCCAGGUAGGUCCGUUGUGAAAACUCGAGGCUCAACCUCGAGACGCCGAUGGAAACCAUCUGGCUAGAGUCCGGAAGAGGAGAGUGGAAUUCCCGGUGUAGCGGUGAAAUGCGCAGAUAUCGGGAAGAACACCCGUGGCUAAGUCGGCUCUCUAGUACGGUACUGACGCUGAGACGCGAAAGCGUGGGGAGCGAACAGG